AUACGUAGGUGGCAAGCGUUGUCCGGAAUUAUUGGGCGUAAAGCGCGCGCAGGCGGUUCCUUAAGUCUGAUGUGAAAGCCCCCGGCUCAACCGGGGAGGGUCAUUGGAAACUGGGGAACUUGAGUGCAGAAGAGGAUAGUGGAAUUCCAAGUGUAGCGGGGAAAUGCGUAGAGAUUUGGGGGAAAACCAGUGGCGAAGGAGACUGUCUGUCCUGUAACUGACACUGAGGCGCAAAAGCGUGGGGAGCAAACAGGAUUAUAUACCCUGGUAGUCCACGCCGUAAACGAUGAUUGCUAAGUGUUGGGGGGUUUCCGCCCCUCAGUGCUGCAGCUAACGCAUUAAGCACUCCGCCUGGGGAGUACGGUCGCAAGACUGAAACUCAAAGGAAUUGACGGGG
rnacentral:rRNA from 1 species